CAGGCGUGGGAGGGUCUGCGCAUGCGCAGAAACACUGCGGGCGUGCUGCCGGCGGCGGUAGGUGGCGCGCGGGUCCGGCGGGCGGUUGGCGUGAGCGGGACCGGAGCUGAGGCAGGAAGAGCCGGCGCCAUGGUGGAGAAGGAGGAGGCUGGCGGCGGCAUCAGCGAGGAGGAGGCGGCACAGUAUGACCGGCAGAUCCGCCUGUGGGGACUGGAGGCCCAGAAACGGCUGCGGGCCUCUCGGGUGCUUCUUGUCGGCUUGAAAGGACUUGGGGCUGAAAUUGCCAAGAAUCUCAUCUUGGCAGGAGUGAAAGGACUGACCAUGCUGGAUCACGAACAGGUAACUCCAGAAGAUCCCGGAGCUCAGUUCUUGAUUCGUACUGGGUCUGUUGGCCGAAAUAGGGCUGAAGCCUCUUUGGAGCGAGCUCAGAAUCUCAACCCCAUGGUGGAUGUGAAGGUGGACACUGAGGAUAUAGAGAAGAAACCAGAGUCAUUUUUCACUCAAUUCGAUGCUGUGUGUCUGACUUGCUGCUCCAGGGAUGUCAUAGUUAAAGUUGACCAGAUCUGUCACAAAAAUAGCAUCAAGUUCUUUACAGGAGAUGUUUUUGGCUACCAUGGAUACACAUUUGCCAAUCUAGGAGAGCAUGAGUUUGUAGAGGAGAAAACUAAAGUUGCCAAAGUUAGCCAAGGAGUAGAAGAUGGGCCUGACACCAAGAGAGCAAAACUUGAUUCUUCUGAGACAACGAUGGUCAAAAAGAAGGUGGUCUUCUGCCCUGUUAAAGAAGCCCUGGAGGUGGACUGGAGCAGUGAGAAAGCAAAGGCUGCUCUGAAGCGCACGACCUCCGACUACUUUCUCCUUCAAGAAUUGUUUCCUAGAAUUGUUGAGAGGGUUUAUGCCCAGAGACAUCCCAGAAGCACUGAACGCACUCAUGCCAAGAUGUUAAUACCUUUCCUCACUAAAGAGAAACCAGGGUUCCUUGGAGAAAUGGCUGUUUCCAGAUCUGGGGUAGGAAAAUUACAGUGCUCUUAAAGUUCCGUACAGAUAAAGGAAGAGAUCCCAGUUCUGAUACAUAUGAGGAAGAUUCUGAGUUGUUGCUCCAGAUACGAAAUGAUGUGCUUGACUCACUGGGUAUUAGUCCUGACCUGCUUCCUGAGGACUUUGUCAGGUACUGCUUCUCCGAGAUGGCCCCAGUGUGUGCGGUGGUUGGAGGGAUUUUGGCACAGGAAAUUGUGAAGGCCCUGUCUCAGCGGGACCCUCCUCACAACAACUUCUUCUUCUUCGAUGGCAUGAAGGGGAAUGGGAUUGUGGAGUGCCUUGGCCCCAAGUGAACUCAAGAUUUGGCAGCCCCAGAGAUGCCAACUGCAGCAUGCCCGCCUGUAUUCCCUGUCCCCUUCCUUCAUGAAGGCAUCUCCAGGCAAGGAAAACUGAAGUCAUUGGCCUGAUACAAAACAUUUCCUGCAACAAAGGAGGUGGUGCCGACGUGCUGCUUCCCAUCACCAGCAGCCGCUCGACAAGGGGCGCAGGGUGGCUGUCUUUGUUCCAGCACUGUUCAGGCUGCCUGUCAUCCCGGGCCUGCCAGCUCCCCUGAGUGAUGAGCACUUCCAAGCACCCCUCUGCCCUUUCUCUGUCCUUAUGCUGUCCCGGCCUCGCCAGCCCUCUGGGGCAUUGUGGGAGAUGCCUGCCAGGAAUGAGCACGCUCUGUUGCUCGGGAGCCUCUUGCCACCUUCUUGGACUUAUUCCCCACCUGAUAUCUUAUAGAGAAAAGUGUGAAUUCAGGUGGAGAGUAGGCCCAGGCCCCAUGAGGCACCAGUGGAAGCACAGCUCCAAGUUCAGACAGGUGCCCUUAGAGAGGAAAACCAUGACAGGCAAAUGCAUUUCCUCUGGAGUUUGAGACCCUGACAAACAACAGGUGGCAUCUGGUGUGCUGUUCUUGAGUUUUCGUUUAGGAUUAGUUGAGUUCCAGCUGGGUUUUGGGAGAAAGGAGAUGCUACCAAGUCUUGGAUGUUAGGGCGAGACCCUGCAAGUUGAGUAUUAGAGAGCUUGUCUUUCAAGGCAGGUUCCUGGGGCUUCAGGGCUAGGAGGGAGGAGCCUGCCCUUUUAACAGAACCCCAGUCACAUGCGGCCCAAGUCACUCAGAGGCUGUUGCAUUUCAGGGCUGUGUUGGUCCUUUGUUUACCUCCUAAACCACAGCUGUUUGUGUUUCACAUAUGUUGUGAAUUUUCCUUGGUUCUUUUUAAAGGAAUGAUAAUAAAGUUACUUGCUUUAGGA